rnacentral:rRNA from 1 species
UACGUAGGGUGCGAGCGUUGUCCGGAAUUAUUGGGCGUAAAGAGCUCGUAGGCGGUGUGUCGCGUCGGCCGUGAAAACCUGCAGCUUAACUGUGGGCUUGCGGUCGAUACGGGCAUCACUGGAGUUCGGCAGGGGAGACUGGAAUUCCUGGUGUAGCGGUGAAAUGCGCAGAUAUCAGGAGGAACACCGGUGGCGAAGGCGGGUCUCUGGGCCGUAACUGACGCUGAGGAGCGAAAGCGUGGGGAGCAAACAGG